UACGUAGGGUGCAAGCGUUGUCCGGAAUUAUUGGGCGUAAAGAGCUCGUAGGCGGCUUGUCGCGUCGAUUGUGAAAGCCCAGGGCUUAACCCUGGGUCUGCAGUCGAUACGGGCAGGCUAGAGUUCGGUAGGGGAGACUGGAAUUCCUGGUGUAGCGGUGAAAUGCGCAGAUAUCAGGAGGAACACCGGUGGCGAAGGCGGGUCUCUGGGCCGAUACUGACGCUGAGGAGCGAAAGCGUGGGGAGCGAACAGG
rnacentral:rRNA from 1 species